GAGUGAGGGAGUGAGUGUUUGAGUGCGUAUGCCGAUGCGCAUUAUUCCAAUCACUUGAUUGUUUGGUCUAGAUUUGAUUACUUACAGACAGCCGUCCUAUAGCUUGGAUAGAUGUGAGUGGCUUUAAACAAUCAUGAUACAAGCCUAUAUAUGUUGGUUUAAUUGUUGCACAACGUGGAUUAUUGCUUGUCCAAGGAAGACAUAUUUUGAAAAACAUUCAAACUAAAUGUGUGUCCAGAUCUAUCGCCUUGGUUACGAGGUAAGGGUCACAGGAUAGCGUGUUGGCCUAGUGGUAAAACCUGGUUCGAGUCUCAACAGUGACACGUACAUUUCGUUAAACUCUACCUUGUGAUACUCCGAAUACCGCUGGAUAAAACUUAAUCAAUUCACCUACUGGAUCCACGGAGUGAAACAGGGGUGAACUACUGAUUAAAGGUGAAAGGGAGGCAACUCUACACAGCAUCGCUUCUCCUCGGACACCCCUCUUCACGAAAUGGUCGGAUAUAUGGGGGCGUGGUGGGUGAGCUGGGCGAGCUGCCUAAGGUGCCAGGUUAGUGAUCCAGCGAGCUUUGAGGUGCCGGGAUCGAGCCCACCUGUGACCGGGUG